rnacentral:rRNA from 1 species
CAGUAGCCGCGGGAAUACGGAGGGAGCUAGCGUUGUUCGGAAUUACUGGGCGUAAAGCGCACGUAGGCGGUUAUUCAAGUCAGAGGUGAAAGCCCGGGGCUCAACCCCGGAACUGCCUUCGAAACUAGAUGACUGGAAUCUUGGAGAGGUCAGUGGAAUUCCGAGUGUAGAGGUGAAAUUCGUAGAUAUUCGGAAGAACACCAGUGGCGAAGGCGACUGACUGGACAAGUAUUGACGCUGAGGUGCGAAAGCGUGGGGAGCAAACAGGAUUAGAUACCCCCGUAGUCCCUGUCUCUUAUAC